rnacentral:rRNA from 1 species
GACAGAGGGUGCAAGCGUUGUUCGGAAUGACUGGGCGUAAAGGGUGCGUAGGCUGCUUUGAAAGUAAGGUGUGAAAUCCCUCGGCUCAACCGAGGAGCUGCGCUUUAUACUUCAAGGCUAGAAUUCGAUAGAGGAAACGGGAAUUUCUAGUGUAGGGGUAAUAUCCAUAGAUAUUAGAAGGAACACCAAAGGCGAAGGCAAGUUUCUGGGUCGAUAUUGACGCUGAGGCACGAAAGCGUGGGGAGCAAACAGG